rnacentral:rRNA from 1 species
CACGCCGUAAACGAUGAGUACUGGGUGUAGGCGGGGUUAGAGCCGUCUGUGCCGAAGCAAACGCGUUAAGUACUCCGCCUGGGGAGUACGGCCGCAAGGCUAAAACUCAAAGGAAUUGACGGGGGCCCGCACAAGCAGCGGAGCGUGUGGUUUAAUUCGAUGCAACACGAAGAACCUUACCCAGGUUUGACAUGCACGUAGUAGUGAAGCGAAAGCGGAACGACCCUUCGGGGAGCGUGCACAGGUGC